rnacentral:rRNA from 1 species
AGAGCGUAGGGAGAAUGCCUUGGCAUUAGGAGCCGAUGAAGGACGUGAUAAGCUGCGAUAAGCUGCGGGGAUCAGCAAGUAUGAAUUGAUCCGCAGAUUUCCGAAUGGAGCAAUCCGUAUGUGUAUGCACAUACAUCAUAUACUGAAUCAAAUAGGUAUAUGAGGGGAACCGCCUGAACUGAAACAUCUAAGUAGGGCGAGGAAGAGAAAUCAACCGAGAUUCUGUGAGUAGUGGCGAGCGAAAGCGGAAGAGGCUAAACCAUAGGUAGCAAUACUUAUGGGGUUUCGGACAGCAUUUAGUAUUGAUAAUUUCUAGUUGAAACGUGUGGGAAAACGUACCGAAGAGUGUGAGAGUCACGUAAGCGAAAGAGAAAGUCAGCGAGCUGUAUCCAAAGUACCGCGGGACACGUGAAACCCCGUGGGAAGAUGGGGGGACCAUCCUCCAAGCCUAAAUACUACCUAAUGACCGAUAGCGAAUAGUACUGUGAAGGAACGGUGAAAAGAACCCCGGGAGGGGAGUGAAAAAGAACCUGAAACCCUAUGCUUACAAGCACCGAGAGCACGUCAAAGUGUGAUCGGGUACCUUUUGUAGAAUGGUCCGGCGAGUUAUUGUAUGCGGCAAGGUUAAGUGCUUAAGGCACGGAGCCGAAGCGAGAGCAAGUCUGAAUAGGGCGAAAAAGUCGUAUGCAAUAGACCCGAAACCGAGUGACCUAUCCAUGUCCAGGCUGAAGUGGAGGUAAAACUCCAUGGAGGGCCGAACACACGUCCGUUGAAAAGGCCGGUGAUGAGGUGUGGAUAGCGGAGAAAUUCCAAUCGAACUCGGAUAUAGCUGGUUCUCUCCGAAAUAGCUUUAGGGCUAGCCUCGUGAAAGAUUACUGGAGGUAAAGCACUGAAUGGGCUAGGGGUCGAAAGAUUACUGAACCCUAUCAAACUAAGAAUGCCAGAUAAUUGAUUCACGGGAGUCAGACAAUGUGAGAUAAGUCUCAUUGUCAAAAGGGAAACAGCCCAGACCCACAGCUAAGGUCCCUAAACAUUGUUAAGUGGAAAAGGAUGUGGGGUUGCAUAAACAACCAGGAUGUUGGCUUAGAAGCAGCCACUCAUUAAAAGAGUGCGUAAUAGCUCACUGGUCGAGUGACUCUGCGCCGAAAAUUCAACGGGGCUAAAAUUCAUACCGAAGCUUGGGCUUGACAGAAAUGUCAGGGGUAGGGGAGCGUCGUAUACGAGGUGAAGUCAUAGCGGAAGCGGUGGUGGAUUGUAUACGAGUGAGAAUGCCGGAAUGAGUAGCGAGAAUUAUGUGAGAAUCAUAAUGGCCGAAAAUCUAAGGUUUCCUGAGGAAGGUUCGUCCGCUCAGGGUAAGCCGGGGGCUAAGGCGAGGCGGAGACGCGUAGCCGAUGCACAUACGGUUGAAAUUCCGUAGCCACCGAAAGAUUUAAGUACAGGGACGCUUUAGAAGUGAUGUUGCCGGGCGAUGGUUGACCCGGUCGUAAGGGAUCGAAAAUGAGUAGAGAAGUCAUCAUGGAAAGAGACAAGAAAAGCUGUAUGAAUAUCUUAGGUGCCCGUACCGCAAACCGACACAGGUAGAUAGGAAGAAGAUUCUAAGGCCAACGGGAGAAGGGUUGUUAAGGAACUCGGCAAGUUGACCCCGUAACUUAGGGAUAAGGGGUGCUCAAGUGAUUGAGCCGCAGAGAAUAGGCCCAGGCGACUGUUUAGCAAAAACACAGGUCUCUGCUAAAUCGAAAGAUGACGUAUAGGGGCUGACACCUGCCCGGUGCCGGAAGGUUAAGAGGAGAUGUGAGAGCAUUGAAUUGAAGCCCCGGUAAACGGCGGCCGUAACUAUAACGGUCCUAAGGUAGCGAAAUUCCUUGUCAGGUAAGUUCUGACCCGCACGAAAGGCGUAAUGAUUUGGGCACUGUCUCAACAGCCCGCCCGGCGAAAUUGUAGUACCGGUGAAGAUGCCGGUUACCCGCGACUAGACGGAAAGACCCCAUGGAGCUUUACUGUAGCCUAAUAUUGGAUUUCGGUAUUUCACGUACAGGAUAGGUGGGAGACUGGGAAGCACAGGCGUCAGCUUGUGUGGAGUCGACCUUGGGAUACCACUCUUGGAGUGCUGGAAUUCUAACCUGCGGCUUUGAAGCAAGUCGGGGGACAUUGUUAGGUGGGCAGUUUGACUGGGGCGGUCGCCUCCUAAA